AACGAACGCUGGCGGCAUGCCUAACACAUGCAAGUCGAACGAGCUCUUCGGAGCUAGUGGCGCACGGGUGCGUAACGCGUGGGAACCUGCCCUUAGGUUCGGAAUAACACAGAGAAAUUUGUGCUAAUACCGGAUAAUGUCUUCGGACCAAAGAUUUAUCGCCUUUGGAUGGGCCCGCGUAGGAUUAGCUAGUUGGUGAGGUAAAGGCUCACCAAGGCGACGAUCCUUAGCUGGUCUUAGAGGAUGAUCAGCCACACUGGGACUGAGACACGGCCCAGACUCCUACGGGAGGCAGCAGUGGGGAAUAUUGGACAAUGGGCGCAAGCCUGAUCCAGCAAUGCCGCGUGAGUGAUGAAGGCCUUAGGGUUGUAAAGCUCUUUUACCCGGGAUGAUAAUGACAGUACCGGGAGAAUAAGCCCCGGCUAACUCCGUGCCAGCCGCCGCAGUAACAC
rnacentral:rRNA from 1 species